rnacentral:RNase_P_RNA from 1 species
UACAGUGGGUAGUCGCUGUUCCGUGUCAACGGAGCAGAGGAAAGUCGAGACACGCACACUUUGCUGAUGAAGCUAAAGGCCGCAAGGGGCCAAGAGGCCACGGCAGGUGUAAAAUGGUGCCCGGCGCAAGCCGGGGCAGGGUGACCUGACGACGGUGAAAGCAACUCUCUGAGUGGCAAGUAACCAUAAAGUGCCACAGAAACAAUGUCACCGGGCGACCGGUGAGUGCAAGGGUAAACUCCACCAGCGUGCAACCCAAAUAGGCAGGGGCGUUUUGUCACCUGCGGGUAGGGGCACCUCGCACCGGCGAGGAAGGAGAGAUCCUCUCCUUAGAUAGAUGACUACUAAAACAGAAUCUCGCUUACGGCU